CCUACGGGAGGCAGCAGUAAGGAAUAUUGGUCAAUGGACGAAAGUCUGAACCAGCCAUGCCGCGUGAAGGAUUAAGGUCCUCUGGAUUGUAAACUUCUUUUAUCUGGGACGAAAAAAGGCGAUUCUUCGUCACUUAGACGGUACCAGAUGGAAUAAGCACCGGCUAACUCCGUGCCAGCAGCCGCGGUAAUACGGAGGGUGCAAGCGUUAUCCGGAUUCACUGGGUUUAAAGGGUGCGUAGGCGGGCAGGUAAGUCAGUGGUGAAAUCCUUGAGCUUAACUCGAGAACUGCCAUUGAUACUAUCUGUCUUGAAUAUUGUGGAGGUAAGCGGAAUAUGUCAUGUAGCGGUGAAAUGCUUAGAUAUGACAUAGAACACCUAUUGCGAAGGCAGCUUACUACGCAUAUAUUGACGCUGAGGCACGAAAGCGUGGGGAUCAAACAGGAUUAGAUACCCUGUAGUCCACGCCCUAAACGAUGAUUACUCGACAUUGUGAUACACUAUAAGUGUCUGAGCGAAAGCAUUAAGUAAAUCACCUGGAAGUUACGAUUGCAAGAUUGAAACUCAAGGAAUUGACGGCGNGAGAGNGCGAGACGACGACGAGGAGUAG
rnacentral:rRNA from 1 species